GGGAUAAUCAUGUGAAAACGUGACUAAUACCGCAUGUCGUUUCGGGAGGGCAUCCUCCUGAAAGAAAAGGAGUAAUCCGGUAGAAGAUGGGCCCGCAUCUGAUUAGCUAGUCGGUGAGAUAACAGCCCACCAAGGCGACGAUCAGUAGCCGACCUGAGAGGGUGAUCGGCCACAUUGGGACUGAGACACGGCCCAAACUCCUACGGGAGGCAGCAGUGGGGAAUAUUGCACAAUGGGGGAAACCCUGAUGCAGCAACGCCGCGUGAAGGAAGACGGUUUUCGGAUUGUAAACUUCUAUCAAUAGGGACGAAGAAAGUGACUGUACCUAAAUAAGAAGCCCCGGCUAACUGCGUGCCAGCAGCCGCGGUAAUACGUAGGGGGCAAGCUUUAUCCGGAAUUACUGGGUGUAAAGGGUGAGUAGGCGGCAUGGCAAGUAAGAUGUGAAAGCCCGAGGCUUAACCUCGGGAUUGCAUUUUAAACUGCUAAGCUAGAGUACAGGAGAGGAAAGCGGAAUUCCUAGUGUAGCGGUGAAAUGCGUAGAUAUUAGGAAGAACGCCAGUGGCGAAGGCGGCUUUCUGGACGGAAACUGACGCUGAGGCACGAAAGCGUGGGGAGCGAACAGGAUUAGAUACCCUGGUAGUCCACGCCGUAAACGAUGAGUGCUAGGUGUCGGAGGGGAACCUUCGGUGCCGCAG
rnacentral:rRNA from 1 species